rnacentral:misc_RNA from 1 species
ACAAACUUGGUCAUUUAGAGGAAGUAAAAGUCGUAACAAGGUAACCGUAGGUGAACCUGCGGUUGGAUCAUUAAAAAAAGAAAAGAGUGUUUUUCUAAAUGGAAGGGAAAAAUUUCAAUCUUCUGGCAAUGGAAAAAACCGAGUUGGUAUUUCUUUUUGUUUUCGAUGGUCUUUUUUCUCUUUUAUUUUUAAAACAAUCGAUCUUUUGUGAACUUGUAUUUUAAUUUGGUGGUAUUUGAGUUUUACUCAUCUUAACACCGUGGUGUUUCGUGAGAGAACUUGAUGUAAAUCCCAUCAAUUUAUUUUAAACAAAAAACCUUUUUUUAUUUUUAAUUCUUCCUUAUUUUUAUUUCAUUAUUUUUAAUGAAAAAAAAUUGAAAAAUUGAAAAACAACUUUUGACAAUGGAUCUCUUGGCUCUCGCAUCGAUGAAGAACGCAGC